CAACUACUGAUAAGUGGUGGAAAAUGCAUGGAUGUAUGGAUGUAAUACAUUUUAGAAGAUAAAUUAUUGUUUUCAUUUUUUAUCAAAGCAAAACUGUGCGGAUCAGUUGCAAGAGAGAAAAAACAUGUCGUGCAGAAGACAUUUCCUGACCACUGCAAACUGGCCACUGCAGACCAAUGACCCAUGCAAAGUCAAUAAACUUUCGGAGGAACAUGGAGCAGCAUUGAACGUAUAAAGGCAAUCCAGGAUUACAGUUCUGCUCUGUUCAUUUCUGAGGUAACUAUGAAGAAGCGGAAGAGAAGACCAAUAUCAGAAGGAGCUGGAUUAUCAUUUAGGAAAAAAUGUGAGUCGUCACAGGGGCUUUGGCGAGGACAUAGAGAGCGACUUCUAGACAGCUUUGAGGAGAUUCUGGUCCACCAUCCGGCGGCUCAGGGCGGGAAAGUGGUGCAGCAUCAACACUGUUUAUGGUGGGGAUAGUGCACUGCUGACCUCAGCUCGGGAUGUUGUAGGUUGACCUUCUCUGCCAAAUUCAACUUAAUGUACUAUAUUACGCCAAUUAUUAUUCUUUAGCAAUGAAAAUAUGGUUACUUUUUGAAGAAGGUUCACUAUUGGUGUUCCAAGGCUUCUGCCAAUCAGUAACCUUAGCUAUCCAGACU